GCCCCGGUAGCUCAGCAGGCAGAGCGUCCGCCUCGUAAGCGGAAGGUCGCCGGAUCGUGUCCGGCCCGGGGCUCGA
rnacentral:tRNA from 1 species